UUUCAUUUUCCAGAGGAUGAAAUGCUUCCCGUGAUGCUUUCUAGAUCAUUGGAAGGAAGUGGUCUGAUUUCCUUAUCAUUCAUCCAUUGUGCUUUGAUGUAUCCUCAGUGUACUGCUUUUAGCUAUGUAUAGAUCAAGUCAACAAAUUGAAGAUAUGAGGAAGGAAGAUUCAACUGUUCCAUUAAUUCUGUAAGUUUAACAAAAAGCAUGAAGAUGAAGGUUACUUUGUGAGAACAUUCUUGUCCACUAAGCUGAUAUUGUUAGUGGAUUUACUUGAGAGGUGAGAAAUGAAAGAUCAUAGACAUUUUCACUUCCAAAGUUGGGAACUCAAGCCAUUUAUCCAUAUAUAUAUAUAUAU
rnacentral:lncRNA from 1 species